rnacentral:sRNA from 1 species
GUUGAUCGCCGCGUUUAAGUUGCGCUCGGGGCGGCCAUGUCGGCCGGCGAGGUCGAGCGCCUAGUGUCGGAGCUGAGCGGCGGGACCGGAGGGGAUGAGGAGGAAGAGUGGCUCUAUGGCGGUACGAAACUUCCUGUCCCUGUCUCUCGGGUUCUCUCAGGCCUCCCCUCUUGGCCCUCAAACGGCCGGCGUUCCUGGCCUCUCGCGCCGCCGCUUCGGGCCUCUGGUUGGGAGUCCUGUCCGGCCUGACUUAGGCCGAGCGCGGCGUGCGCGUGCCCCCAGCCCCCGCGGCUGUCUCUCGCCUGGCCCACGCCCACCAUGCGCACCCACCCUGUGGCGGCCGGGCCGGGCUGGGGGGCUGUGACCGGUCCUGGCCCCCGGCUUCGCUGUGCUUUCCCCGGGGCGUCUCGAUCGCCUCGCUGCUGCGCUCUUUACCCUUAUUUUUUUCUGUCGAUUCUGAGGUGGUGUUUUUUCGUGUCUGUUUUUGCCCUGUGGCCUUAGGGUGCCCUUCCUGUCCCUUCUUUCAGAAACAGUCAUUCUGUAAUAAUAGCUAAAUAAAGUUAAUGCUGUACAACUAACGUCUUGUUUCUUGAUGGUCAGUUUGUAUGGAAUGCACCUGCAAGGGUACCUCCUUGUCUGAAAGUCGUGCUUUAAAAAUAAUUAAUUAAGAGAGAGAGAGAGAGAGAAAGAUGGCCCAUAAAGAAAACUCUGAAUGUCUCCUGUAUUAAGGUGAAGUUAUUCUUUUUUAAGAGACUGCCGUUUAACCUACAUCAUGGAGGUAUCUCAUGACCCUUCGGCUUAUAGUUUUCAGUGUCAUCUCAUGUAUUUCUUUUUCUCAAAAUAAAUUUAAUGCAUCAUGUACUUCUCUCUAGAAGGGUACUUGUUUGACAUCUGGUUUUUAAGUCACAAUCCCUUCUUGCUUGUUACACCAGAUUUGAAAGUUAAUGUUUGUUCCUUGCCUAAAACAUACAUUCUUGAUUGUCUUUAGAAUAGAAUAGUAAAAGUGCACUUUGGGCACCAUGCAGGUCCUUGAUGAUGUGACUUUGAUAAACUUGUAAAAAAAAAUCGUUAUCUUUGGUGGCAAGAUUUAGCAUUAGUUACUAUUUGAAAUGUGAAUGUGUAGGAUUUCUUUUACAAAGAUCUGGAAAUCUUCAAUACCUCUUUAAGCUUAUUUUUAUAGCAGUAAAGUCUGAUUUUUUUUCCAUAAAAUACGUAUCUUGUUAAGUAAUUAUAAGGUGAUCUAACUUUGGAUGUGCUUAUAGGCCCAUGGGACGUGCAUGUGCACAGUGAUUUGGCAAAGGACCUAGGUUAGUGCUUGUGAUGAUCACUUCAGAUUUUCAUAAUACUAGUUUCUUUAAAAGUGGUUUAUUUUGUUUGCUUAUUUAUUUAUUUGUUUAUUUUACUUGGUAGAUGAAAAUGAAGUUGAAAGGCCAGAGGAAGAAAAUGCCAGUGCUAAUCCUCCAUCUGGAAUUGAAGAUGAAACUGCUGAAAAUGGUGUACCAAAACCGAAAGUAACUGAGACCGAAGAUGAUAGUGAUAGUGACAGUGAUGAUGAUGAAGAUGAUGUUCAUGUCACUAUAGGAGACAUUAAAACGGGAGCACCACAGUAUGGGAGUUAUGGUACAGCACCUGUAAAUCUUAACAUCAAGACAGGGGGAAGAGUUUAUGGAACUACAGGAACAAAAGUCAAAGGAGUAGACCUUGAUGCACCUGGAAGCAUUAAUGGAGUUCCACUCUUAGAGGUAGAUUUGGAUUCUUUUGAAGAUAAACCAUGGCGUAAACCUGGUGCUGAUCUUUCUGAUUAUUUUAAUUAUGGGUUUAAUGAAGAUACCUGGAAAGCUUACUGUGAAAAACAAAAGAGGAUACGAAUGGGACUUGAAGUUAUACCAGUAACCUCUACUACAAAUAAAAUUACGGUACAGCAGGGAAGAACUGGAAACUCAGAGAAAGAAACAGCCCUUCCAUCUGCAAAAGCUGAGUUUACUUCUCCUCCUUCUUUGUUCAAGACUGGGCUUCCACCGAGCAGAAACAGCACCUCUUCUCAGUCUCAGACAAGUACUGCCUCCAGAAAAGCCAAUUCAAGCGUUGGGAAGUGGCAGGAUCGAUAUGGGAGGGCCGAAUCACCUGAUCUAAGGAGAUUACCUGGGGCAAUUGAUGUUAUCGGUCAGACUAUAACUAUCAGCCGAGUAGAAGGAAGGCGACGGGCAAAUGAGAACAGCAACAUACAGGUCCUUUCUGAAAGAUCUGCUACUGAAGUAGACAACAAUUUUAGCAAACCACCUCCGUUUUUCCCUCCAGGAGCUCCUCCCACUCACCUUCCACCUCCUCCAUUUCUUCCACCUCCUCCGACUGUCAGCACUGCUCCACCUCUGAUUCCACCACCGGGUUUUCCUCCUCCACCAGGCGCUCCACCUCCAUCUCUUAUACCAACAAUAGAAAGUGGACAUUCCUCUGGUUAUGAUAGUCGUUCUGCACGUGCAUUUCCAUAUGGCAAUGUUGCCUUCCCCCAUCUUCCUGGUUCUGCUCCUUCAUGGCCUAGUCUUGUGGACACCAGCAAGCAGUGGGACUAUUAUGCCAGAAGAGAGAAAGACCGAGAUAGAGAGAGAGACAGAGACAGAGAGCGAGACCGUGAUCGGGACAGAGAAAGAGAACGCACCAGAGAGAGAGAGAGGGAGCGUGAUCACAGUCCUACACCAAGUGUUUUCAACAGCGAUGAAGAACGAUACAGAUACAGGGAAUAUGCAGAAAGAGGUUAUGAGCGUCACAGAGCAAGUCGAGAGAAAGAAGAACGACAUAGAGAAAGACGACACAGGGAGAAAGAGGAAACCAGACAUAAGUCUUCUCGAAGUAAUAGUAGACGUCGCCAUGAAAGUGAAGAAGGAGAUAGUCACAGGAGACACAAACACAAAAAAUCUAAAAGAAGCAAAGAAGGAAAAGAAGCGGGCAGUGAGCCUGCCCCUGAACAGGAGAGCACCGAAGCUACACCUGCAGAAUAGGCAUGGUUUUGGCCUUUUGUGUAUAUUAGUACCAGAAGUAGAUACUAUAAAUCUUGUUAUUUUUCUGGAUAAUGUUUAAGAAAUUUACCUUAAAUCUUGUUCUGUUUGUUAGUAUGAAAAGUUAACUUUUUUUCCAAAAUAAAAGAGUGAAUUUUUCAUGUUAAGUUAAAAA